CGUCUCCAUGAGCGUCUCCUUCUCCGCCCGACCAGUCCCCUGGUUCCUGGCUGUCGUCGUGGGCGUGCCGUUGGCAGUUCUGGUGUGUGUGGCCCUGCUGGUGACUUUUAUCGUGUGUAAGAGACGUCGCGGCUCAGGUACCAGCAACCUGAUCGAACCCCCCGGGGAGAGAACAGAGAUCGUUCCAAAGUAGAAGAACCUGCCCCUUGGGCAGGGCCAGCUGCAAGUGCCAGGAACUCAGCCUGCCUGAGAUUUGCCGGUGCCCUUCACUCCCGACCCACAGCCCCUGGCUACCCCAGCGCCAGGCUCCCCCCUCCCAGCUCUGCUGGUGCCCCUCACUCCCGACCCACAGCUGUUUCGGAGAGGCAGAAAAAGCCACUUUUUACAAACAAUAAACA